rnacentral:rRNA from 1 species
AGCUCCAGUAGCGUAUAUUAAAGUUGUUGCAGUUAAAAAGCUCGUAGUUGGAUUUCUGGUAUAUCGAGUCUAGGCCGGGGCGGGUUACCGUGUCUGCGCCAAGUUUUCGUUUGCCAUCCUUCCAGGACUUCGAAUCUGCUAUUGACUUAGUGGGGUUCGGGCACUGGAUCUUUUACUUUGAAAAAAUUAGAGUGUUUAAAGCAGGCUUUGCCGUGAAUACAUUAGCAUGGAAUAAUAAUUUAGGACUUCGCUUCCUAGUUUGUUGGUUCUCGGAUUUGAAGUAAUGAUUGAUAGGGAUAGUUGGGGGUGCUAGUAUUGAUUGGCCAGAGGUGAAAUUCUUGGAUUCAAUCAAGACUAACUUAUGCGAAAGCAUUCACCAAGGAUGUCUUCUUUAAUCAAG